GCGAUGAGAGGGACUGUCGCGGGUCGGGAAAGCCGGCGCGAGGAAAGUCGGGACAGCGCAGAGCACCAUACUUCCUAACGGGAAGGUGUCCGCAAGGGCAACAGCUAGUGCCGCAGAAAACAACCGCCUCGCAAGAGGUAAGGGUGAAAACGUGAGGUAAGAGCUCACGCAUCGGAUGGCGACAUCCCGAUGGGGUAAACCUUAUGGGCUGCAAAACCAAGUAAGAAGAUGCAGGUCCUUCGGGACCGAAAGGGCUGCUCGUCCGAGUCUUUUGG
rnacentral:RNase_P_RNA from 1 species